rnacentral:misc_RNA from 1 species
UUUCCGUAGGUGAACCUGCGGAAGGAUCAUUACCGAGUGAGGGUCUCUCAGGCCCUACCUCCCAGCCUGUGUCUUUGUGACCUGGUUGCUUUGGCGGGUCCGCCGCGAUGAGAGGCCGCCGGAAGCUCACCGCUUUGGGCUCUCGCCCGCUACUAGCCCCCUUAAAUUCUAAAUUAACCUGUCGUCCGAUUCUAUCUAUAAUAAAAAAAAAUUUCAACAACGGAUCUCUGGGUUCUGCCAUCGAUGAAGAACGCAACAGAUCGGAAUAGCACACGUCUU